rnacentral:pre_miRNA from 1 species
UCUUCAUUUCCCGCACUCUCUCACCGGUCAGAGAGGCGAGAGAGAGAGAGUGUGUGCAAAAUGAAGAGA